AUUCUUCUUGCGUAUUUGUGAUCAAGGAUAUGCGGAUUUCUUUCUUUGUUACCGGGGUUAGUUUUUAGGUAGGAGAUGACGUCGGUUGUUCUAUCCCUGGAUCAAGGAAGGAUCAUAGAUAUAAUUAAAGCCAGUAGUCUAUUCCCGGUACCGUUUUCAAUCCGACCGUUCGUUCUUAUAACUAUUUACCCUAGGUCUUUCCAUAUGUUGGUUUUCAAUUAUUUCCGAUUUGAUCCCGAUACAAUAAUUUGCUUUUCUUCGUGUAAGUGGGGGUGAAAAACUGGAUAUGAAAUCUUGAUUCUCGUUACGGUGGGCGGGCAAGAUGUCCUUUUUUAUGUUAUUUUUUUAUAUUAGGGUUAACUAACGGGAAGAAGAUAAUUUAUUUUUCCUUGGCGGUGGUGAUGUGUUCUUAUUGGCGUAGGAUUAAUUUUUCCUUGUCAAUGUUGAAGCCUGGCUAGAUAGAUACUCAGUUGGGCUGAUGGAUGGAUGGAUGGAUGAAAAUAAAAGCACGGUUCUGGUUAUGGGUGUCUUUGGAUUUAUUCACCCUUGAUAUAUUUGUUUGUGUUAAAGAUAUGAUCUGUUCUUAUUGAUAGGAUGAUUUUUCUUUGGAUUGUAGAGUGGUGAAUAUUCAACAGACAAUCUAUUUGGAUGAAAUAUUAACUAACAAUCUUCAGCGACUUCUGGUUAUGGGGUGUCUUUUAAUUUCUUCCCCUUGAUAUAUUUUUUUAUGUUGUGUUAUGACUAAGAAUAAUACCAUAACGUAGAUGAAUGUGAUGAUGUGCUCUUAUUUUCCUUGGUACGUAGGAUGUAUGAAUCCAAGUGGAGAUAUGCCUGUUGCAGUUUCCAGUCAGUUUUUUUGGUUAUUGUGAUAUUCAAAUACAUUCAUUCUUGAGUUCCAUCUUUUGUGUUAACUUCAUCAUUACACUGUGAAAAUAUAAUUGGCUCCUUCCUUGUGUUGUUAGGACACGGCAGAUGCGAUCUUCAAUUCAUCUAAUAAUCGGCCAUGAAGUUGGAUCUAAUAAUCAGUCUAUGAGAUGUUAUCUGGAUUGAAUGAUGAAUGAAUGAUGAGACCUCCAUGAGUGGAUCUAACUAUCUUUCAACCAAAUUAUCCGGUUUGCUUACAAUCUUCAAACAGAGUCCUUAAAACUUCUCCUUUUAUGUUAUUUCAUCACUAACUUGUGGUAAACUAUUUUUUGCUCUCAUGUUUUUCAUGAUCUCUCAAAUGUUGGAUAUUCUCUCUUCUAUUUUGUACCUUUGCUACUGAGCUGGUUACUGUCAUUUUGUGCUGUUCCAAGGUAAUUUCAGGGAUAAUGCUCUCUUUACUUUGGCCUAACUUCACCUAUUUAUCAGAAUGAAUGCUUCUUAAUUUUACUUUUUUAGACAGUUUGGUGGAUGCCAUUGCACUUGGUUAUUACGGUAUCAUUUUUUUUUGACAAUGACUCUUGGCUUUUGAUGUUGAUUUUGCAUUUGUCUUUACCAAUUAUUUUGAUAAUAUAUAGAUAGCAUUGGAUAACUAUGAUAGCCUCUUCUGCUGUUGACUUUGAUACUACUACCACCUGGUGUAGUAACUUCUUUCAUGUUUAUUGAGUUCUAUGUUCCUUCACUGCUUUGGAGCUUGCUACUGUUCCUUGUAUCUUUGUCUAGCGUUUCUCAACAAUUUUUGGACAACUUGGUAGAUGCCUUUAAUGUUGGUUAUCAUGGAUGAGGUCACUUACAUAUCGGUGGUUCUUUCGCACAACAUAACAUUCACUAGGGUGCCUGUAUGUUCUUUCACCCUGUUGACUAGGUAGGGACUUCCUCUCUUAGGAGAACUAUGAUGUUAUAAUAGCCCGCAAGGUAUAUACAUGUAAGUUCUUCCCUUCUAUUUUGCUAGCUAUUCAUUUUCCUUUCUAUCCAAGUGUUGUUCUAGGGCAAUUUGAGGAAGGCUACCAACACUCGGUGAACACUUUGGUUCGAUCCCUAAUCUUGUACCUUUACUGGAAUGCUUCUUGAUAUCCAUGCAGUUGGUUGGUUGGUGUCAUGAAAUUCCCUGCUUUCCCAAGUUUGAUGAUCUAGUUGGCAACAUUGACAUUCAUUCCAUUUGUGCACAUGCUAUAUUGAUGGAACGGACAAGGUUUUGCCUCAAUUUGAAUUCAUCAAGUCUUUGGCUCAAUAAUGCUUUUUGAUAAGUGCAUUCAGUUGUCCUUUUCAAUUACGGUGGCAGCUUUGGUUAUAUUCUUCACUGCUAAAUAUAUGAUUUAUAUGGUGGUUGGACCUUCACAAUCUAUUGUUUGUCAUGGAUUUCUCUUUCAUAAUACUAGGUCUGCAAGAGUGUUAAUGAUGUUCUAUUUGAUAUGAAUCAACUGGUGAAUGGGUAGCUGUUAGAAGAAGCUUCUUCAAUGUAUUUAAAUUAUUGCUAUUAGAAGUAACUAAUAAUGUUGUUUCAAUUUUUUUCUCUCAGAAUUCAUAAUCUUCUAUGUAUGAUAUUCUCAUUUUGUGAGAUGAUGAAUUUCUAUCCUUUUUGUCUUUUUCCUGGAAACAGUUUCUUCUAGUUUCUAAUGUUCGAAUUUUUUUUCUUCAAUUUUCUAAUGUUAAUUGUAUUUGCAUUAACAAUUAACAGUAGAGGCUUAACCUAACUUUUUUUUGUACUUGUAAUAAUAACAGAAAAUAUAUGAAUAGUUAUGUAUGUUACAAAGAAAACAUAAACAAUUUGUAGUUGAACAAAAAAUGAUUCUUAAAUCUGUUUGUGUAUGUCAAUAUUUUUAUUAUUGUAAGAGGGAAAAGCAGACAAUAAUAUGUGGGUGGGGCUGUUAGAAGAUAUGCCUGUUGCAGGUUCCAAUCAGUUUUGGUUAUUGUGAUAUUCAAAUACAUUCAUUCUUGUGUUCCAUCUUUUGUGUUUAACUUCAUCAUUAUAUUGUAAAAUAUAAUUGGCUCCUUGCGUUGUUAGGAUGGCAGAUGCGAUCUUCAAUUCAUCUAAUAAUCGGCUAUCCAGUUGGAUCUAUAAUCAGUCUAUGAUGAUGUUAUCUGGUUUUGGUUUCCCUGAUCUCCAAAUGGUUAUUGAGCACAUUAUUUUGUGUUAUUUCCCCACAAAAAAGUCUAUCAUGUAAAAUAUAUUUUUUCACUUGUGUUUUUAGGAUUGAUGAAUGAUGCGACCUCCAUGAGUGGAUCUAACAAUGGUUCAACCAAAUUAUCCGGUUUGGUUCAGGUCUUCAAAUUGAGUCCUUAAAAGUUUAACUUGUGUUAUUUCAUUAUUAAUUUAAGGCAAAAUAUAAUUUGCUCUCAUGUUUUUCACGAUCUCUCAAAAGAUGGAUAUUCUCUCUUCUAUUUUGUACCUUUGCUAUUGAGCUGGUUACUGUCAUUUUGUUUUUCAUUUAGUGUUGUACUAAGGUAAUUUGAGGGAUAAUACUCUCUUUUCUUUGGCCUAAUUUCACCUAUUUAUCAGAAUGCUUCUUGAUUUUAUUUUUUAGACAGUUUGGUGGAUGCCACUGCACUUGAUUAUUACGGUAUCAUUUUUUUGACAGUGACUCUUGGCUUUUUAUGUUGAUUUUGCAAUUGUCUGCACCAAUUACUUUAAUAAUAUAUAGCAUUGAAUAACUAUGAUAGCCUCUUCUGUUGACUUUGAUGCUACUACAACCUGGUGUAGUAAGUUCUUUCAUGCUUAUUGAGUGCUAUGUUCCUUCACUGCUUUGAAGCUAGCUACUGUCCCUUGUAUCUUUGUCUAGCGUUUCUCAAUUUUUGGACAACUUGGUAGAUGCCUUUAAUAUUGGUUAUCAUGGAUGAGCUCAUUUACAUCUCGGUGGAGUGGUCAAUAUUCAAGGCUGGCUAGAUACUGAAUUGGGCUGAUUGACGGAUGGUAAUAAAAACAGACUUCUGUUUAUGUGUGUCUUUGUAUUUAUUCACCCUUGAUAUAUUUGUUUGUGUAUUUAUUAUGAUACUAAAUAUUCUUAGCUCAGAUAUGAUGUGUUCUUAUUGACCUUGAUAGGAUGAUUUUUUCUUUGGAUCGUGGAGUGGUGCAUAUUCAGUAAAGAAUCUAUUUGGCUAAUGGAUGGAUGAAUAUAAACUAACUACCUUAAGAUUUCUUGUUAUGUGGGUGUUUUUAAUUUAUUCCCCAAUUAUAUAUUUGUUUGUGUGAUAUGACUAUGAAUAAUCCUUCAUAAGGUAGGUGAGGAUGUGUUCUUAUUUAACCUUGGUAGGAUUCAUAGUUUCUUGGAUUCUUGAGUGGAGAUAUGCCUGUUGCAGUUCCAGUCAGUUUUGGUUAUUGUGAUCUUCAAAUACAUUCAUUCUUGAGUUCACAUCUUUUGUGUUAACUUCAUUAUUAUUUUCAUAUUUUGUAAAAUAUAAUUGGCUCCUUUUGUUGUUAGGAUGGCAGAUACAAUCUCCUUCAAUUUAUCUGAUAAUUGGCUAAGAAGUUUGAUCUAAUAAUCAGUCUAUGAAGUUAUCUGGUUUUGGUUGUCCUGAUCUUCAUAUAGUUAUUGAGCUCAUUUUGUGUGUGUUUUUCCCCAUAAAAUAGUCUAUCAUGUCAACUAUAAUUUUUCCCUUGUGUUUUUAGGAUGGAUGAAUGAUGUGUCCUCCAUGAGUGGAUCUAAUAAUCUUUAAACCAAAUUAUCCGGUUUGGUUACAAUCUUCAAAUAGAGUCCUUGAAAGUUCUCCUUUUAAGUUCUCCUUUUAUGUUAUUUCAUCAUUAACUUGUGAUGAAAUAUAAUUUACUCUCGUAUUUUUAGGAGUGUGGAUGCGAUCUCUAUAUGUCCAAACCAAUAUUCUGUUUCGGUUGCCCUGGUCUUCAAAUAGAGCCUCCCCUGUAUUAUUUCAUCAAUAUUAGUCUGCAUAUAAUGAUUUCUUAGUGGUUCUAUUCUUUUGUCCUUCUUAUCUGAUAAGUUUAGUAUAUGCAGAUUGUUAAUUAUUCUAUGGAAAAUUUCUGAUCUGACAGAGAUGCAUUUUAUUGAUAGAUUGUCAUCACCAACCUCUUUCUACCAACUUUUGUUAUGGUUCCUCUUUCUAUCAACUUUUGUUAUGGUUAUGCGGAUUUCUUUCUUUAUUAUCGGGGUUAGCUUUUGGGGAAAAGAUGACGUGUUUUUACUGGAAUUAUUGCUAGGUCGGUUGUUCUAUUCCUGGAUCAAUGAGUGUAGAUACAAUUAAAGCCUCUUUCCCGAAACUGUUUUCAAUCCACCCAUAGUUCUAACUAUUUACCCCAAGUCUUUCCAUGGUUUUCAUUUAUUUCUUUUCGGAUCACGAUUUACCAAUAAGGGAAGGAAGGAAUAAUUUGCUUUUCUUGGUGUAGGUGGUGAAAAAUUGAAGAUAAAAUCUUGAUUCUGGUUAUGGUGGACUUGUAGUUUAUUUUAUAAAAAUGUCGUUUUUAUGUUAUUUCUUUAUGUUAGGGUUAACUAACAGGAAGAGGAUAAUUUUGUUUUGGGUGUCUUGGAAGGUUGACUUUUAUGUUGGGAUGAUGGGCAAUUUGGAAAAAGCAGGCAUCUGUUAUGGCAGUAUUAAAAUUUAUUCUCUACUAUUUUGUAAUAUAAAAUUAUGAUUAGGGUUAUAGGUAGGAGAUGACUUGUUCUUAUUUUCCGUAGGUUACCUUUCUGUUAUAUAACAGAGGAGUAGGAGUACUAUUCAAUUCUGGACACUCUAUGGAUGAACAAUUGGAUAUAAAAGAACAGGCUUAUCCGUCUAUCUUUUAAUUUGUUCACUUAGUAAUUUUAUUAUGAUUAGGAACGUUAAUAGGUAAGCGUUAAUGUGUUAUUAUUGACGUAGGAUUCACUUUUCCUUGGAUCGUGGAGUGGUCAAUGUUCAAGCCUGGCUUGAUACUGAAUUGGGCUGUUUGACGGAUGGUAAUGAAAACAGGCUUCUGGUUAUGGGUGUCUUUGAAUUUAUUCACCCUUGAUAUAUUUGUUUGUGUAUUUAUUAUGAUAAUAAAUAUUUCUUAGUUAAGAUAUGAUGUGUUUUCAUUGACCUUGAUAGGAUGAUUUUUUCUUUGGAUCGUGGAGUGGUGCAUACUCAAUAGACAGUCUAUUUGGCUAAUGGAUGGAUGAAUAUAAACUAACUACCUUAAGAUUUAUUGUUAUGAGGGUGCCUUUUAAUUUAUUCCCCAAUUAUAUAUUUGUUUGUGUGAUAUGACUAAGAAUAAUACUUCAUAAGGUAGGUGAUGCUGUGUUCUUAUUUAACCUUGGUAGGAUUCACAGUUUCUUGGAUUCUCGAGUGGAGAUAUGCCUGUUGCAGUUCCAGUCAGUUUUGGUUAUUGUGAUCUUCAAAUACAUUCAUUCUUGAGUUCACAUCUUUUGUGUUAACUUCAUUAUUAUUUUGUGAAAUAUAAUUGACUCCUUUUGCUUUUAGGAUGGAAGAUGCAAUCUCCUUCAAUUUAUCUGAUAAUUGGCUAAGAAGUUAUCUGGUUUUGGUUGCCCUGAUCUUCAUAUAGUCAUUGAGAUUACUUUUUGUGUUAUUUCCCCAUAAAAUAGUCUCAUGUCAAAUAUUAUUUUUCAUUUGUGUUUUUAGGAAUGAUGAAUGAUGCGGCCUUCAUGAGUGGAUCUAACAAUCGUUCAACCAAAUUAGCCGAUUUGGUUUCGGUCUUCAAAUAGAGAUCUUAAAAGUUCACCUUUUAUGUUAUUUCAUCGUUAAUUUAUGGUAAAUAUACUUUGUUCCAGUGAUUUUAGGAGUGAUGAUGUGAUCUCUAUAUAUCUAAACAAAUUAUCUCUUGUCCGUUGUCCUGGUCUUCUAAUACAGCCUUCCUUUGUGGUAUUUCAUCAAGAUUAAUUAGUCUGUAUAAAAUAUAAUUAUUUCUUUGUGCUACUAUUCUUUCUUGUUGUCCCUCAUAGGAUGUCUUCUGUCCUUGGAUAACGGAGAACCUAGGUUAAAUUUUUGCUACUAGUCUUUGAUAUCUUCCCAAUUUCAGCCUUUUAAGUAUGUUCCCAGUUUAAUUUACUACAUACAUAAUGCGGAUGUUUAUUUAUCCUAAUUUUCGUUUGGAGAUAUUUUUGUAAGCUUAAGGUAUAACAUGUUUUCUGUCUUUGUUCCGUAGGCAGGUUACACAUCUUUUUCAUGUAUUUUCUGCAUAUUAUGAUGAUCAACCUUUUUAUCAGGAUUCUUUCUAUUAGAUCAUAAUGCUUUUUCAAAAUAUUCGAGUGACUAGUUUUUCUUGAUGUUUUGGAUUUUCUCUCUUCUAUUUUGUACCGAUAUAGUGAUUAUUGGAGUAUUUUCUCCCUGGUUUGAACUACCUCUUUCUACUGUCUUCCCUUCAACUUGCGAAAUGUUCAUUAUUAGGGAGGCAGUGCAUAUGAUAUUUUUGCUCUCCUUGCAGUUUUAGGUGGUUAUUUGGGUAGUCUCACUAAUCUUUUGUGUUUGUCUAAUAGAAUUUCAAUUGAUAAUAACUUUGUAAGUACUUUCUCAUUUCAUAAGUAUUUCCUGUUGACGUUGUAGGAACUUUAUUUUUAGAAACUUUUCCAUAUCCUAGCCUGAAAAAGUUAGCCUGCAAAAGCACCUGUAAGUUCUCACUUGUUAUUGAAAAGCCAUUUCCCUUUGUUUUUUUGUCUAAUAUUUUAAUGUAGUUUGAGGGUAACGAUGCAUUCUUUAUGAUCUAUUUAGUUUUGCUCCCUUAAUCUUUUUCUUUAAUAGAAUGCUUCCCCAUUUUUGGAUGCUCUUGUACAUGCUUUUGCAGUUGGUUAUCAUGGAUUGUGUCAUCUCCAACACGCCCACCCAUUCCUGAAUUCCAAAUUGAUUUGAUAAGUGACAUUGGAAUUAUAUUUUUGUUCCCCCAUUAUUUAGUGCUUAGGAGGUACCUUUUAAGUUCUUCCUUGGACUUGACUUAUAAGAACUUUCUCCAUGGAUAUGUUUGAUAAUAUACUCUGCAAGUCCAUCCUUUGCUCUUGAGCUGGUUAUGCCCUUUUGUUCUAAGGUAAUUUGUGGGAUAAUACUAUUCUCUUUGGUUUGGCCUCUAGUUUCACCUAUUUAUCGGAAUGCUUCUUGAUUUUA